GGCUGGCUAGUUGCUUCUCUCGGUCACACACACAUCUUGGAAAGGCGGAGGAGCAGAGACUGGAAAUUGUGCUUUCAGACGGCGUGUCAGCAGGAUCAGCUAACAGCAGGAAGAAGACCAGUGGAGUGGGGGCAGGAGGCAGGAGGGCACACGAGGAGGAGGCAGGACUUCAGGGGCAUCUUCAAGGAGGGUGGCUCAGUCUGUUCCUGGCCUUUGAGGUCCCUGCAUGUACCGUGCCCCAAGCCCAGCUGGCUUCCUGCGCACUCUCCAGAGAGGCCCAGAGCCUCGGGCAAGUGUAAAUGAGCAGUUAGGUGGUGUCUGAGGCUUCAAGGGGUGGCAGCAAUCACAGAGAACUCAGCCAAGUUCUGACAAGGAAGCAGAUCUACAGAGACCUCCAGGCUGCUGCUAUGUUUCCCGAGACAAAUCUCAGUUCUAUGGAACAGGAAGUUCCUUUACCGCCAGUGACCUAUGGAGACCACCAGCAGCCAGUCUGACAGGC